UACGUAGGGUGCAAGCGUUGUCCGGAAUUAUUGGGCGUAAAGAGCUCGUAGGCGGUCUGUCGCGUCGACUGUGAAAACCCGGGGGCUCAACUCCGGGCCUGCAGUCGAUACGGGCUGGCUUGAGUGCGGUAGGGGGAGACUGGAAUUCCUGGUGUAGCGGUGAAAUGCGCAGAUAUCGGGAGGAACACCAGAGGCGAAGGCGGCUUUCUGGCCUGUAACUGACGCUGAGGCGCGAAGGCUGGGGUAGCGAACAGG
rnacentral:rRNA from 1 species